GGAAAUACCCAGGGAAAACGGGGUAUUCCACCUCGACUGAAUAGCUCCGUUUGCGAAUUUGUUUAAAGUGAGUAUCUGGUUUCACGGUUUUUUUCUUUAAAUGCAAGGUCACUCCUCCCCAUCCUGCGCAACUCGGGGCUGCUUUGCUGUUCCCGGUGAUGCGGGUCGUGUUUCCUUGGAGUUUUGACCUGCAAAACCCAGGGAUACUUUUUAAUCGCUAUCCAGUGUACUGUAGAAUGCUCAGACAGCACUUGGGAUCGUGUGGUUUCUCCCCUCGUUUCUUACGGCGGGGCAGUGCCUCAGACACUGCUUUUGUCUUUGCACGGAACUGGCUCUAAGGAAUACACUCACCUACAGCCACAUUCCUUAGGCUGACUCGAGCAGUGGUUGUAUGUGAAGCUCAGCAAGAUUCCUGGGGUUAGACAGGUAUAAGUUUGCCAAAUUUUAGGGAUGAAACUUCGUGUCAGAAAAAUUUCCAUUAGUGCAGUCCCUCAUUCACGUACAGAGUGACCGAGUGAGUGACGUUGGAAGGGAACAAAGUGAGUCAUCUGGUCCAACCUCCCUGCUCAGGCAGGGUCAUCCCGGAGUACAUGGCACAGGAUUGUGUCCAGGUGGUUCUGGAAUAUCUCCAGUGAGGGGAACUCCACAACCUUACCUGCACAAUAAAGGAGUUCUUCCUCAUGUUCAGGUGGAACUUCCUAUGCACCAGUUUCUGCCCAUUACCUCUUAUUCUGUUACCUGGAACCACCAAGAAGAGCCUUGCUCUGCUUCUCCAGAAAUACAUGGAAAUUAUUUUGCUUGUCUUUAUCUAAAGAAAAUAUGCUUUAGCCAUUUCUGAAAGCAAGUGCAAACAAAGCAGCUCUGUGGGGUCGCUGGGUGGGUUUUACCCCACGAACAUCCCAUCUGUGACAUUGAGAAGUGUGUUUGCCUUUUUUCUUUAAGCAGAAGUUUCACACAUCUUGUUUGUGAGUCACCUUUUGGGCUGUGUGUCUCCUGAGGUUUGGUCAACGUAGUGGCCUUUUGGGGAAAGAAAAAAAGUCUGUGAGUCUACAUUUAAUGGUGAAGCUUGGUAAGAAAAUUCUUCCGAGACUCCAUUUGAACAAAGGCUGAGUGUGGCUGUUGGGGUAACCUCAACCCAUGGCUGGGGUGAGGUGCUGCAUCUAAUGAGGGGGAAUAUUGCCAAGAGAACAGAAACUGAACAAAAGGUUUGAAGUAAAAUAUCAAAGAGUUUCUCUUUCAAUGAGAACUGUCCCUUCUUGCUAUGUAUAAGGUAGAUCCUGAGGAAGAAGAAGCAUGUGGUGGUGUAAUCUAAGCUGUGCCAUCAUGCAAUGGAAUACAUUAAGGUGCCAAGUGAGAUAAUGAGCCAAAUCUAUUUUUAGUCCCAAAAAAGAGAGGAAGUAGCAAGCUUUAAAUGAUUUUUCUCCAUAUAGCUUUUAGGUCAUGCUAGAAAAUGCUGAUGGUUUCUCGUGAAUUCUGUGAAAGUCUGUUUGCAUUAAUCAAUAGAGCUGCCUUCUGAGAUGAUAGAUACUGAUUUCUUUUUAAACAUUUGUACAAGGUUGAAUAUACUAAAGUAUUUUUCAACCCAAGAAAAUAUCUCCAAGACAGCUUCAGUAGCUAUAGAAGCACAGAGGAUGUGAUGGAUGUAUUUUAAACCAGCUGACACACUGGUUGCCUCAAUAAAGGACACUUUGCCGGGUUCCUUUGGAACAAAAACAUUGUCUGGUAGAAAAUAGUCAAACAAUUCUGGAAUUUGCGUUGCUGUUUUCACUUUGAUAAAGUGUUUCAUUUUCUCUCCCUCUUGCCAAACCAGGCACCAAGAGACUCAUUCUGGGAAUAACUCCCAGGUGGGUUCCUGCCAGCUGAGGGAGCUGCUCCUGGGCCACUUUGCUCUUCCCAAAUGAACCAUCAUGAUGUGUGGGAGAGGGGGUGCCAGCAAAUAAACAGUGUUAAAUUAUUUAAACCUAUGGUGCUAACUAAUCUUGUGUAAAAAGUCUGAUUAUCUGCAUGUCUUUUACUUUCAAGUUGCAUGAUGAUGAUGAUGAAGAAUCUAUUUGCACUUUUCACUACUUUACCUUAAAGCAGGCUCUGCAUUCCUCCUGGGACAGAGCUUUGGAGAGGAAGAAUCUGUGUGAGGCAAAAUCUGGUCUUCAUGUUGAAAGACCAAAAGGAAUGGAGCGUUUUCACAGACUUAAAGCUGACAAAGGCGGGGACUAACCAAUGUAUUCUAAGGAUAUUGAUUUGUAAAUCCCUCUGAAAUGGGAAUGAAACUAAGCCUGGUUCUUCCUGUGGGUACAAAGCACCUGAAAAAUACUCCUCAAGUUUCCAUUUACUAGUUGGUAUGAUUCUGUAAGUGUCACAACCAAAAAUAUUUGUAGGAUCAGAAUGACUAUUAGUAGAAACAUGACCAUCCUUUUAUUUGGUUUAUUUUCUCACUCUAGCAGUCUUGUGGUAAACAAGUUUGCAGCGUUUUCCCAGAAAGUACAAUGAUCUGAUAUGUUUAGUUCUCUCUCAGAGGAUUUCUAGCCUUUGAUAUUUAUGAUGAAAAGUUAUGAUGAAAUUUUUCUAGCUUAGUAGCAGAUAUUUCUGCAACUGGCAUCCAUUCAGUUACAGGAAAAUACUUCUUAAAAUGAAAUAUCCACACAAGGAACACUAGAGGGAAAAUACAAUUUAUUUAAUUAGAUUUAUUUUGAUGCAUAGUCCACAAGCAUACCAAUGCAUUUCCAUUUGAUACGACUUUGCUUGUAAAAAUCUUGCAAAAUGCAAUGAUAUAAAUGGUGUGCAAGGUUUGAUUAAUUUGUUUUUUCUCAGACAGCUGAAUGCACAAGUUUUAUGAGCUAGUUAUAUAAAGAGAAAACCAAAUUGUGUUAGAAAGGAAUGAUUCCCUGAGGAGAAAGGAAAGAGGUGAGUCAUGUCAGUGCUGUUUUUCUCGAAUCAGCAGAAUAUUAAAACAACCUCAUUUUCAUUAGUCUGAAGCUGCACGUGACCUCUGAGCAGAACUGAUGUUUCUUUUCGUGGUGUUGUUUAGAAAAACGAAUCCAGGAUGCAUUUGGAUUGCCAAUAUCAGCCUUCAUGUUCAAAUUAUUCUGAUGGCCAAGGCACAAAUAGCCCUGCUAGGAGCAGUUUCUUAGAUGCAGCAACAGAAAGCACUUGUUCUGUUUGUGCUUGUGAGUCUUAACCUAGUUUUUGAGAUUUUUCCUGCCAGCUCGCUGUAGUUCAGAGUGCUCCCUGUAACAAUAAAGAGGAGCAUUCCCAUGUUCAAAAGGCUCUUGUCUCUAUUUAUUUUGUGGGUUUAAUUUUUUUUUUUUUUUUUUCCCCUCAGAUGCUUUCUUUGUAAAGAGGCCACGGGGCCUAUUUUGAGCCUGCGUUUGUCAGGACGAUACGUGCGUGUCACUGAGAAGAGACGAAAUGUCAGCCAGCACUCACAACUUCGGCACUACAAAGACCUGAAACGUCUCCUCCAAAGCACGGUGCUGUUCUACUAUGGCAAGCAAAUAAAAAAUGAAUAAGCAUCAGGCACUUGUUCGUUGGUGGCCUCGUGUGCACACUCACACUGAACGGGUGUGAUGCUCCCGCGCUGUUGUAGGAAGCGCUGCGUUCCACACUGGCUUUGGGUCACAACUCCAGUGCUUGCUCUGGCAUUUCACAGGGGAAGGAACAGGAGAGGAAGAGGUGGGGAAUAAUGGAAAGGAAGACCAUCAGAAUCACAGAAUGUGCUGAGUUGGAAGGGACCCACAAGGAUGAUCGAGUCCAGCUCUUAGCCCUGCACAGGAUCAUCCCCAAGAGUCACACCCUGGGCCCCAGAGGAUCAUCCUUCCUUGAGUUCUGUCGGCCUUGGUGCUGUGCCCACUGCCCCGGGGAGCCUGUUCAGUGCCCAACAACCCUCUGGGGAAGAAUCCUUUUCUAAUAUCCAUCUUAAGUUUGGAUAACUUGUACCCUUCUCAGAGCUGUCAUUUCUCUUUAUUAUGUAUUGCAUGCAAACAGUACAUUCUGAUUCAGAGCUCAUCUUGCUGCCAAUUCUGGAAUAAUUGUGACAUGUAAUUUUUUCAAAUUAACUCAAAUAGUGAAGAUCAUUCAGUUGUCAGCAGAAGUGGAAAGGGAAAAGUGUUCUGUGCUAAUUGGAUGAGAGCUGAGGAAUCUUUGAUGCAGUUGCAGGGCAAAAUUCUGAUUCAAUUCAUGUUGGCGUUUCAACAUUUACUUCAAUGGCAUUUUGUUAUCACCAUCAGUUUCAUUUCUUGGGUAACACAGGACUUCAGCUGCUGCUUCACACACUGACCAUGAUACACAAGAAAUUUGGCUGUUGGCAAGUUAAAAUACUCUAGGGGCCAGGGAAACGUGAAAUCAGUGACAGAGGUUCCUUCAGUAGCUCACAGUUUGCAGUUCCAGAGGACCUGAAAUCUAGUGAAGAUCAUAAUAUUCAGGAUUUAUGAGCAUCUCACAGAAGGUACAACUUCAUAUAACUGGGAGCUAACUUGGGCUUCAUUACACUGAAGGAAAUUUAGGAAGUCUAGAGUUGAUCAGCAGCUGAAGAAAAGAGGAUGAAAGACCAAAUUGAUUGGAACUCAGAAUAAACAAGGUCCAGGUUAGCAGAGCAAUAUCAUUUUUGAGACUGAAGUCAUGUAUCACAUGACUCCCCAAAAGUCAUGGUUCCAGUUCCCAUAUUAUUAUUAUUCCCUAAUAAAACUCUUAUUUAGUUUUAUAUUCAUCAGGGAUAGAGUAAUCUUUGGGAUGGUUACAUCCUCAUGUAGACAAAAUAUGUAUGUGCAGUAAGAUCACUGCUGUGGGGGCUGUGCUUCUGCUCUUUUACAGAUGCAGAAAGUCUUUUUGAGAAAUUAUUCUUCAGCAAAGACUGAGCUAACUUGUUUUUCUGUUGAAGUGUUAACUUUUUGGACAGUUGUGUCAUGGCAGCUCCUCACCUGCUGUAUUGCAGCUCAGGGUGCUGUUUCUUAAUGGUGCCAAUGCCAUCUUGCUGCAGGCUUUGGAAGGUCAGGCUGCUCAGCAGUUUAAUCCCAACUCACCUGAUGGACAGAGGCAGUGGUUGUUUCUCUGGGAUCAGUCCUACUGGUGAACUUUUAGCCUGAAAAGUUAGCCCAAGGCAGAAUCAGAUGGAUCUUCUGUUCCAUGACUCAAGGCUGGAGACUGACACUAUCAUUAGCAAAGUCAAAACAGUUUCAUCAUGGGCAUCUCUGUGCUAUUGUAAAAUGCACUUUGCUUCCAAACAGCAGUAAAUUGUCAUCAAAACACCUUCAGACUAUGCAGCUGGCAUCUCAUUGGAUCUCAUAUUUUGGAAUCAAACCCUUUAACAUCUUUAUCCAACAAGUACAAUAUCUGGCCUGGCACACUCUUCCAGUGAGGCCAAAAGUCUGAUGGUUUCUACAAAGAGUCCCACUGUUUUCACUUGCCCCUUAUAUGCGCUUCUCAUUUUUAUAUAAUUGUGUCUUUCUAGGGCUGGACACAAAAAAAUGCAUUGAAAAGGAAUUCCCAAGGACUGAUCCUUUAGUGCUAUUCCAGCCGAGGGUGUGGUUCUUCCCAAUGUUUGACACACAACUCUGGGGUUUGCAGUUUCACUUACAAGGAGGUGAAGAUUAGUCCUUUUGGCUGAAAGCUGGUGUUGAGUUGAUGUAGCUGUGUCAUGGAACUGCACCUUCAGUUUCUCCAUUGCAGAGAAAAAAAUGCAUUAUUGAAAAUCUGAGAUUCCUUUUAUGAAGCUUAUGUGUAGACUGAAUGUUUUUUGCUCAUUCUAACCCAAACACAGACUCUAUUUAAGGAGAGCCUGUGUUGGUUUGGUGCUGCCAUUUGGGUGAAUUCCUGGAGAAAAUGUCAAUGGAAGAUCCUAGAAGUCACACCUUUUAUAUCAAGGGGAAAGGAUGGCUGGAAUCCAUUGCCCCUCAGUGCCCCUGGCCUUGAGCCUGGCAGGUCUGAGGGUCAGUAAGAGCAGGACCAUUCCCAUGUCUUCUCCAUGGAAAGGAAUAGAUCCUUUGAGCACAAAUUCCAUGCCUGGCACUUUCAAAAUUUGCUGCUACAUUAAAAUAACCUUCUGCACUGAGUACACAUUAUGCAGCGUGAGUGUGACCAGCUGCAUUUCAUCCUGGUGAUUUGGUCCAAGUGGCACCUGGAUCCAGCAAUUAAGACUUCAUUCCAUGCCCCUGGGCACAUGAUACGUGUGUAAGGAAAAGAGAGGAGGAGGAAAUGAAACGAGUGUCCUGCAAAGAGAGCUUGAAAAUAUGGUGAAAAGGAACUCUGGAAAGAUCUGAUGAAAAGCCUAAGACAAAUAACUACCUGAGAGAGCUGGUGGCUCUGCUGACAGGAGGGCCUGGGUAGAGCAGGGCUUUUCCUGGGAUGGCCUGGAGCCUGCCAUCAGAUAUUCCCUUACAGCUCUGCUUCGGGGGAAGUUGAUGUGAGGGCCAACUAAACUGCACACAGAGCUUGGAAAAGACUUUGAGAGAUGAUCAGUGGAACACACAGAAUGCCUCGUGCAUGGGUAACAUCAGGAUAAAGGUGGGAAAUGGGAAGCAGCACUUGUACCUGCCUGGGAGAGCAAAGUCUGUCAUUGCACUGGACUUGUGUUUCAGUGGUGAGUGUCAUGAUUAUUCCUUAGGUUGGAUGAAAUAAACUCAUGAAAAACCCUUAGAAGGUACUUGGAAAAUAGAUGUAUUUUCAGUAAAGCUACAAACAGGAAACUAUCACUGGCCAGAUAAAAUAUCAAAAUUAAUAAACUCUUGGACUGCCUCAUCCCCAGAAGGACAAGGAUCACUUUCAGGUGCAGUUUUUUCACUCUCAGUCUUGCUGUUUCUCUGUGGAUUGUCAGUCCAGCAUUUCUUCUCAGCUUGGAGUUGGGAAUUCCUGCUGUCAAGCCCAGCUGAGUAGGUUGGGACUGAGCCUGAAGUUGCUGUUGCUAUUAAAGGUCUGAGGACUGUGGUCAAGCACUAGAUUUCAGAAACAAAGAGCUUGAUAAAAAGUUUGGACACAGGAGCAAAGUCUGAAGACCAUGAGCUGUGUUUGUUUGUGAUUUAACACAGAUAUUCUGACCACGACCUGUUGUCGCUGGUUCUUCAAGGUUUUGCACCGAAAGUUGCAUUCAACAAAUUUUUGAGAGCACAGUGUGUUUUUAUAAGAACUCUUAUUGUCUUCAGAAUUGCAGGAGGAUCAGAUAAGGGGAGAAACAUGAUUAUUUCCAAACAACAUAACAUCAUCAGCAUUUUCAAAGUACUUUAAAAUUUGUGGUUUUGUCUUUAAUUGUGCUGUUACUGUGCUUGCUCAUGAGUUGUGGGUGAUAACAUGUGAUUAUCAUCUGCCUACUUGAUCACAUGCACAUUUGUGAUGCUUGCAAGGGAAAACAUUAUCUGGCUGGUAACUGUCAUACUCUGCAGAGUUUAAGAGACUGUUUCCCAGACAACAGAGUAGUCAGAUUGCAUCCAGGAGCUGUGCCCCGCCGGGUACCUGCACCCAAGUCAAACACCUGGUGGCAGCUGCUGCUACCACUGAUGACACAGACGAGAUGCAAGUGUUUGAAGAGCCCGAAUCAACCUCCUGCCUGAGCUAUGGAAGUCAAAGAAACAAUCUAAACAAUUAAAUAAAAAAAAAAAAAAAAAGUCAAAAGCUGUGGUUCUAACAAGUCAAACAGCACAAGUCUUGAGUCAGCUUUUAAAUUGAAACCAGAUCAUUCAGUAGCCAAAAGGCAUUUAAGGGCCAUGUACUACCUGUUUAAGACCUCUGCUGCCAGGCAUAAAUCCAGGGGCAGCUGUACAAUGUGGUAAAUCAUCUCCCUGUGGCAAAUUGAGCACCUUAAAACAGAACAGCCCAGGGAGCAGGUGGAAGGGCCAACACUGGAAGCAACAAGAGAGCCUCUCCAAGAAAAAGUAAUUCCCUGGUCAAGAUGACGAGACCAUUCUCUCUUCAGCCAAAGAGUACUUUAAAUCCUUUUGGAAUAUGCAUCACCUCCUGUCAAGAGCUUCCUAAUUACCUUCUGUGGAUGCUACCCUAGGCUUUCCUCACUGCUUCCAUAAUUACAGGUUUACAGCAGGACACUUGCACUCUGAAUUGGUUUUCUGUCUGGAAAGCUCAGUUUGCCGUUACCUGAGACACUGGAUCUGCUUUAUUUAACUCACAUCCCUGAGAGCUAUGUGGUGUAAUUGUGCCUGUGGUGACAAGCAUCUGCAAAGAAAGGAAAAGCUGCUUCAUCACAGAGGAGGACUUGUGGAAAUUGAAGUCUAAAGGACUGUUCUUGAGCACGUGAAGCCCCAUGGACAGGGAGUGGAAUACACAGACAACACAUGUGAUCCAGCCCCCUCUCGUGGGUUUUUUCCACACAGAAGGUGCCCAUCAUGGUCCUCAGUGCUCAUCUUGGUAGUGCCUGAGACAGGACAGAAUUAACUGAAAGAAUAUUUUCUUUGAUUUCAAUUAUUAGAUAAUGUCAACAGAUAGGGAGAAAGAUACUGAAUUUAACUUGCAAGGCAUUAAAGAGCUGAUUCUGGAAGCACAGAAGAGGAGCUUUGCUAUCCAACAAAGUUCUUACAAGAAGUACAUUAAGGAACAAAAAGCCAAGCACGAACAGCCUCAGGUACUGAAUUUACAGUAUUUAAUGAAAGAGUGUUUAUAGAUGGGGCAGCCUGUAAGAGUUGUAUAAUGGAAGUCAUUGAAUAGGUUUGUCUGGAAAAGAAGACAUUGACAAUGUCAAUUCUCUGCCAGUUCCACUGCCAGACUGACGAAGGGAGUGGGAACUUGUUUUUCCAGCUCAAGAAAAGAGCUUCGAAUGGUUUUCAUUAGUACUGCCUGUGAAUACCAAUACUUCACACACAUAAAAACUUGGAUUUCAGAUCAAAGAACUGGUGAAGUGUUACUGCUGAAUGUCAGAAUAUGACAGGGGGAAAGUAUUUGACAAAAUACAAUUUUCUUAAGUGUAAGAAACAGUGAAGACCUCAGCUGUGAUGUGAAAACUGUGAAGUGUUGUGAUACCUGGAGCAGGGGAAGCAACCAGAGCCCAUAUGCUGCCUAUGGCAAGGGAGUACAGCAGGGAAGUGCAGAGCUUUCCCCACCUACUCUUCUCUGUCUCAGUCACCUCUGCACAAUUUGGUUCUGGGGACCCAUUAUGAACAGUACUUCUGACUUGCAUUCAUUUCACUCAGAAGUGCAGCUUGAAUCACUGCCAUUGUCACCAAAACCUUUCCAGGUUAGAAUUUAGUGAGUUUUUGUUCUGCAAAAAAGAUCUAGUUGAUCUCUGGAACAGGGCUUUGAACCAGGGUGGUGUUUGCUGUCCUGAGACACAAUAUCUGUGUUUUUCUUACAGAAAGCCAAAUCCCCAGUUGUGUGGGGCUGAGUGGGUUUGACAGUCUGGGCUUUUGGUACCUAUAAUGGAGUGCAGGAAUGAUCUGGACCUAAUGCUAGAGAUAAAGCAACUUUAGGGUUGGGAGUUAUUUCCUGAUACUUGUGCUUUUCAGACAAAAUGGUGGCUAUUUUAUGAGGCCAUUUCAGGAGGACAAGUCACGUCACCCUGCUGGCAAACACGGGUCUGGAAACACAAAAAACAUAACCCCUUGUUCUGCAAAUAAAUUCUUUGGGACCUCAGAGCACAUCCAGACACGAUUUCUAGAACCAUUUCAAGUAUUUUAGUCAUGCCAAAGAGGUUGCUCUGCCAAAAUCCAUAUGAAACAUCUGAUCACAAGGCCCAUUUCGUGCAUCGGUUGCCUUCAGAAGUUGUAAGCAAACAGCUCCUGAAAGACAUUUGGACUAAGGAAUCUCACCACGGGUUUCCACAGGGUUUUAUAUUCUUUUGUAGGUGUCCAUCAUGGUCCUCAGGGCUCAUCUUGGUAGUGCCUGGGACUGGACAGAAUUAACUGAAAGAAUAUUUUCUUUGAUUUCAAUUAUUAGAUAGAUAAUGUCAACAGAUAGGGAGAAAGAUAUUGAAUUUCACAGUAUUACAUUCUUGGUCAUAAAAAUGUACACAAUAUUCUCAAGAUGCAACAUCACCAAUGGAAAGAAUUGAAAUGUUUAGGAUGUGCCACUUUUUCCUCUGCAGUUACAAAUUUUCCUAAAAUCUGACUUUAUUAUUUAUAAUUUCGUUAUUCCUCUUACAAGUCAGGUUUAUAAGUCAUUCUACCCUUGAUAUCACUCAAACACAGAAACUUAACAAAACUCCUGUUUAAAUAACCUGAAGUUUCUGUGAGCAAGAACUGCUGAAAUCUAGCUCCUAAUCUGCACCAUAUGUUGGCAUGCUUCUUUCUUGGAGAUGACAUUUUGCUUUGCUUCCAGUAGAUAACAUUUCUUUUGUAGAAAGAAAAACAACCUGAUGAGAGGCUACAGGCAGCCUGAUGGAUCAGGGAUGCAUCUAUUUAAGGGUCACCAUCUUCCCCAACUGUUUGUCACACUCAGACCUCUCAAAAUGCUUUGCAUUUUUAACAUCCUUUGCCAAAUUUUCCAGUUGCAUAAACAGCUGGAUGGGUAUUAAGACUACAACGGAUUUAGAACUGAUCUUCCAGGAAUAACUCUGUACACUAUGGUAGAUCACCAGCAUGUUAAUGUUGAGGGAUGGUCCUGUGAGGUGAGGGAGUGAGGAAAAAUAACAUCAGUUGGUAUCUCAAAUAAAAAUUUAUUCUCUUAACAGCUCUCAUUUAACCAUUUGCU